rnacentral:rRNA from 1 species
CAGUAGCCGCGGGAAUACGGAGGGUGCAAGCGUUAAUCGGAAUUACUGGGCGUAAAGCGCACGCAGGCGGUCUGUCAAGUCAGAUGUGAAAUCCCCGGGCUUAACCUGGGAACUGCAUUUGAAACUGGCAGGCUAGAGUCUUGUAGAGGGGGGUAGAAUUCCAGGUGUAGCGGUGAAAUGCGUAGAGAUCUGGAGGAAUACCGGUGGCGAAGGCGGCCCCCUGGACAAAGACUGACGCUCAGGUGCGAAAGCGUGGGGAGCAAACAGGAUUAGAGACCCGAGUAGUCCCUGUCUCUUAUAC